AAACCAACAGGGAUUGCCCCAGUAACGGCGAGUGAAGCGGCAGCAGCUCAAAUUUGAAAUCUGGCCGCCCCCGGGGGGGCCCGAGUUGUAAUUUGCAGAGGAUGCUUUUGGCGCGGCGCCUUCCGAGUUCCCUGGAACGGGACGCCAUAGAGGGUGAGAGCCCCGUCUGGUCGGACGCCCAGCCUCUGUAAAGCUCCUUCGACGAGUCGAGUAGUUUGGGAAUGCUGCUCUAAAUGGGAGGUAUAUGUCUUCUAAAGCUAAAUACCGGCCAGAGACCGAUAGCGCACAAGUAGAGUGAUCGAAAGAUGAAAAGCACUUUGAAAAGAGGGUUAAACAGUACGUGAAAUUGUUGAAAGGGAAGCGCUCAUGACCAGACUUGGGCCGGGCGAAUCAUCCGGCGUUCUCGCCGGUGCACUUCGCCGGGCCCAGGCCAGCAUCAGUCCGCCGCGGGGGACAAAGGCGUCGGGAACGUGGCUCCCCCGGGAGUGUUAUAGCCCGUCGCGCAAUGCCCUGCGGGCGGACUGAGGUUCGCGCUCCGCAAGGAUGCUGGCGUAAUGGUCAUCAGCGACCCGUCUUG
rnacentral:rRNA from 1 species